rnacentral:rRNA from 1 species
UACGUAGGGACCGAGCGUUGUCCGGAAUCAUUGGGCGUAAAGAGCGUGUAGGCGGCCACUUAAGUCCUGCGUGAAAUCUUGCGGCUCAACCGCAAGCGGUCGUGGGAAACUGGGUGGCUAGAGUGCGGGAGAGGAGAGUGGAAUUCCUGGUGUAGCGGUGAAAUGCGCAGAUAUCAGGAGGAACACCGGUGGCGAAGGCGGGUCUCUGGGCCGAUACUGGCGCUGAGGAGCGAAAGCGUGGGGAGCGAACAGG